rnacentral:rRNA from 1 species
AUUAGAUACCCCACUAUGCCUAGCCAUAAACUUUAACUUACACCCAAAUCGCCAGGGAACUACGAGCAAUGCUUAAAACCCAAAGGACUUGACGGUGCCCCAUAUCCACCUAGAGGAGCCUGUCCUAUAAUCGAUAACCCUCGUUAAACCUCACCACUCCUUGCUUUACAGCCUGUAUACCUCCGUCGUCAGCUUACCACGUGAGCGUCCCCCAGUAAGCGAGAGGGCCUACACCAAAACGUCAGGUCAAGGUGCAGCUCAUGGAGCGGGAAGAGAUGGGCUACACUCUCUAACCUAGAAGACACGAAAGACUACACAUGAAACAUAGUCAGAAGGCGGAUUUAGUAGUAAAGGAGAACAAGAAUGCCUCCUUUAACAUGGCCCUGGGGUGUGUACACACCGCCCGUCACCCUCUUCGAAGCGAUAAAAACAGUAUUUAACACCAUUCAGCUACAAAGAAGAGGCAAGUCGUAACAUGGUAAGCUUACCGGAAGGUGUGCUUGGAAA